CUGCUGCCUCCCGUAGGAGUCUGGUCCGUGUCUCAGUACCAGUGUGGGGGACCUUCCUCUCAGAACCCCUACGCAUCGUCGCCUUGGUGGGCCGUUACCCCGCCAACAAGCUAAUGCGACGCAUGACCAUCCGUAGCCGGAAUCGCUUCCUUUAAACCCACAGAGAUGCCUCCAUGGGUUGUUACGCGGUAUUAGACGGAAUUUCUUCCGCUUACUCCCCCUGCUACGGGCAGGUUUCAUACGUGUUACUCACCCGUGCGCCGGUCGCCGG
rnacentral:rRNA from 1 species